CCCUGGUUAGCUCAGUUGGUAGAGCGCUCCAUUAGAAUCGGAGAGAUCCCUGGUUCGAUUCCAGGACCAGGCG
rnacentral:tRNA from 1 species